GGAAUGUUGGUGGGACCCUGGGGACACUGAGGGGACCCCGGGGACGCUGGGGGGACCCGCCGCGGGGCCCGACCUGGCCGAAGGAGCCCUUGCCGAUGAGGGAGUCGAUCUCGUAGCGGUCGAGCCAGCGCUCGCCGCUCUUGACGAUGUAGUCGUAGUUGUCGUCGUCGUAGCCCUCGUUGAAGACCUUGCGCUCCUUCUUGGUGCUCGAGUCCUCGGGGGGCACCUGCUGCGCCCGCCGCUUCUUCUUGGCGUAGUAAACCUGGCCGGGGGGCAGCAGGGGGGCACGCCGUGGGGCUGCGGCCCCACAUCUGCCCCUCGCGGCCCCACAUCUGCCUGUUCCGGCCCCAAAUUUGCAGGUUCUGGCUCAACAUCUGUGGGUUCUGCCUCAAAAUCUGCCGGUUCCUGCCCCAAACCUGCUUGUUCUGGCUCAACAUCCACCAGUUCCUGCCCAAAAUCUGCUGGUUCCAGCUCAACAUCUGCUGGUUCCUGCCCCAAAUCUUCUGGUUCCGGCCCAAAAUAUGUUGGUUCUGGCCAAAUAUCUGCCGGUUCUGGCUCAAAAUCCACAAGGUCCUGCCCCAAAUCUGCCCGUUAUGGCCCAAAAUCUGCUGGUUCCAGCUCAACAUCUGCUAGUUCUGGCUCAAAAUCCACCAGUUUCUGCCCCAAAUCUGCCAGUUCCAGCUCAACAUCUGCUGGUUCCUGCCCAAAAUCCACCAAUUCUGGCCCAAAUCUGUCCAUUCUGGCUCAACAUCUGCCAAUCCCUGCCCAAAAUCUGUUGGUUCCGGUGCAAAAUUUGCUGGUUCCUGUCCAAAAUCUGUUUGUUCUGGCUCAACAUCCACCAGUUCCUGCCCCAAAUCUUCCGGUUCCAGCUCAACAUCUGCUGGUUCCUGCCCAAAAUCUGCCCGUUCUGGCCCCAAAUCCAUCCAUUCUGGCUCAACAUCUGCUGGUUCCUGCCCAAAAUCUGUUGGUUCUAGCUCAACAUCUGCCCAUUCCUACCCCAAAUCUGCUGGUUCCUGUCCAAAAUCUGCUGGUUCCUGUCCAAAAUCUGCUGUCUCUGGCUCAACAUCCGCAUGUUCUAGCUCAAAAUCUGCUGGUUCUGGCUCAAAACCCGCCCAUUCUUGCCCAAAAUCUGCCCGUUCUGGCUCAACAUCUGCUGGUUCCUGCCCAAAAUCUGCCCGUUCUGGCUCAAAAUAUGUCGGUUCUGGCCCAAAAUCUGCCAGUUCUGGCUCAAAAUCCACCAAUUCCAGUUCCACAUCUGCCAGUUCUGGCUCAACAUCUGCUGGUUCCUACCCAAAAUCCACCAGUUCUGGCCCCAAAUCUGUCCAUUCUGG
rnacentral:lncRNA from 1 species